ACAUCAAACUCCGGGCCAGAACACGCGAAGCUAUACUGAAACCGAGCAGGACCCUACAGGGCCUUCCCAGAUACUGAAGCCCCCGCCAGGUGGGAGAAGUUUACUGCAUGCUGCCCACAAGCACGUAGACCCCAGACCAGCUGGAACCAGAAGAUUGAUGAAGUUUAACUCCCAAAAUACCACCAACCAAUACCACUCACCGCCAACCAAUCAGAAGAAUGUCCACAAGCUGAUCAGGCCCCCUACAAUCCUCACCUGUAAUGUGGCCUUUAAAAGCCCUUCCCUGAAAGCCAUCAGGGAGUUCGGGCCUUUUGAGCAUGAGCUGCCCUAUCUUGUUGCUUGACCCCACUUUGGGCGCCUUGCAAUAAACACUAUACUUUCCUUCACCACAA